GCACUGCGGCGCAAUGACUCGGCGGCCUUCGUGACUGUAUAUAGUACCGAGGACCGUGUGGUACACCAAAUAGUCGGUAUCUCAUUGCCGCCAAAGGGAGCAGUGGGGAAACAUCGACAAAUACAGGGUGACAGCUAUGAGGCUUUUCUAUUGGCUACUGAUACUGGCUCUUCUCGGUGCCCUGUGCCUGGAGGGCGCCGAGGCCCGUCGGCGGUGCCACCGCCGGUGUCCGCGCGGCUGGCGCCACUGCUACUCCCGCUCCUCAAAGUACUACUGCUGCAAGAGGAGGUACCGCGGACGCUGGACCUACCGCUGGAGAAACUGCUACUGGAGAGGCUGAAAGGCUGUUAUAUCAUAGAGACCCGGUCACGGGUCAGCACGGUUAUCAUGGAAUUUGGAAACGACGCCGGCACGGACACGGGACAGAGCACCUCGGCCCAGAGGAAGCGGAACGGUUUGAUGCAAGUUUUGCACUUUAUUGGCAAUUUUGCACGUUUUGG